ensembl:lncRNA ZNF567-DT ZNF567 divergent transcript
GUGCGUGGCUGGGAUGAGGGCGGCGCUCACGGUGAGGAAGCCCCGAGCUCCCGGGACGCAGACAGGGUGUGCAGGGCCGUAGCUCGGGCCUGUGUAUGCACCUGUGCGUGUGUGUUUGAUGCCAGGACAAGGCGGCGGUGUGCGCGGCGAGGAGGCUGCGACAGGUGCGUGAUUGUGUUCCUGUCCCUGCUCGGAUGCGGGACCUUUGGGUGGCCGUGGUCGGCUGUCGGGUGUGUGACACUGUAGGGUUUGAGACCUUCCAUCAUGACAGUGCUGCUGUGGCCGUGUGAUGGAAGAGCCUUUUAGGUCUGUGGUGUUGUGUGUGUAACGGGUAAAGCUUCAUUUCUGCAGUGCUGUGUUUAAUGUUGGGACUGAGGGGUCUGUCGAAGAUCUCCCCAAUGUGCCUGUGAGGACUAUGAUCCAUGCCUAUGUUAAGCAGAGUCAUCUUGCAAUGAAGCAUGGCCCGCGUUGUCUUCUCAGGGCACACCUGUCCCCAGUUCUCAGCCUGGUGUUUGACACAGGGGAUCCUGGCGGAGUGCCCACCUAAGCGGCAGUUUUAGACUCGAUUGUUUCUUGGGCUCUGCAUCUCUGAGUUCCCAGCUUCCUUUUUUCUCCCGCUUUAUAGCUGUAUAGACCCCAGCUGCAGUGAAAUGGCCAUCAAAAAGGGAAGGGAUAAUCGAGUGGUGGAAUAAAAUCUGCAAACAGAAAAAGGACAGACCUGUUUUCGGAACGAGGCUUUUCGAGUUGUAAGUGUCCCUUAAGCAGAGUUCUGGGAAGACGUCGUGGGGAGAACCUAGGAGUAGGAUUCCUUCCUCAGAGGCUCUCCCUUGGGAACUCUCAGAGGUCAGGUUCCAUGUGAUCCACAUCAUUCCCAGAGCUGUCUCCGCAGGAGACUUAACGUGAAUUUUGAGAAAGUCCCCAGUCCUGGAUAUCAGUGACCCUGGCCUUUCCCUUGAAUACUAAGAAGGGUUAGCAGUACUCCCAUCUCCCUUUUACUUCCAUCUGAGUAUGUUUAUGGUAGAUGAUGAGAGCUCGUGUGGUGGCAAUAAUUUUUUCCAAUUUAGCCAAUCUGGGUUCCAAGAAAGGUCUGAUGUCUCAUGAUUCCUUACCCCUUCUCCCUUGCCUUGAGGUUCUCUAAGAGCCCUGAGGAAAGGGAACCAUUGCUGAGCAUAUCUGAAAACCAAGGUCAAGGAAGUUUUGUUGUAUUUUCUAUUUUUGUUCUCUUUGAUUUUGUUUUUCAGCAAGGGAGUAUUUUUUCUCCUCCUGAAAUGCUAGUCAGUGGUUAGGUUACUAUUAGGCAGGGCCUUGUGAGGUGCUUUGACCAAUAGAAUGUGGUGGAAGUGAUAUUGUGAGACUUCUGAGACAAAGCUUCAGGAAGUCUUGCAGCUUUUUCUCUUCCCCUUUUCCUGCCCUGAGACCACCAUGACUGAAGGCUAAGAGCAACUUGCUUGCGCAUUAAAGAUCACUUGGAGAGAGAGGUCCAGUGAGCAACAACGGCCAGAAAUUUCAGGGAGACCAUCUUGAACCAUCCAGCCUCCACCAGGCCAACAGCUGACAGCUGUCACAUGAAUAUGAUCAGCAGAAGAACCACUCAGGCAAGCCAAGCCCAAAUUGCCAAGCCCCCCAAAUAAUAAGCUAAUUGUUUUUUGUUUUAAGCCAUAAACUUUUGAGGUGGUUAUAUAGCAAUAAAUAACUGAAACAGGUGUUUAA